GAUGAAGAACGCAGCGAAAUGCGAUAACUAAUGUGAAUUGCAGAAUUCAGUGAAUCAUCGAGUCUUUGAACGCACAUUGCGCCCCCUGGUAUUCCGGGGGGCAUGCCUGUCCGAGCGUCAUUGCUGCCCUCAAGCACGGCUUGUGUGUUGGGCUCCGUCCCCCCGGGGACGGGCCCGAAAGGCAGCGGCGGCACCGAGUCCGGUCCUCGAGCGUAUGGGGCUUUGUCACCCGCUCUGUAGGCCCGGCCGGCGCCAGCCGACAACCCAUCAUCCUUUUCAGGUUGACCUCGGAUCAGGUAGGGAUACCCGCUGAACUAAAGCAUAUCAAUAAGCGGAGGA
rnacentral:misc_RNA from 1 species